CGUCUUCAGGGCAGGGUGUAAUUCCCGACCGGCGGUACAGUCCGCGAGCCGAGCAAUCGGCAUGAACCGGUGUGAUUCCGGUACCGACAGUAUAGUCUGGAUGGAAGAAGAU
rnacentral:ncRNA from 1 species